UACGUAGGGGGCAAGCGUUGUCCGGAUUUAUUGGGCGUAAAGAGCGUGUAGGCGGUUCGGUAGGUCCGUUGUGAAAACUCGAGGCUCAACCUCGAGACGCCGAUGGAAACCCUCGAACUAGAGUCCGGAAGAGGAGAAUGGAAUUCCCGGUGUAGCGGUGAAAUGCGCAGAUAUCGGGAAGAACACCCGUGGCGAAGGCGGCUCACUGGCCCGAUACUGACGCUGAGGCACGAAAGCGUGGGGAGCAAACAGG
rnacentral:rRNA from 1 species